GUGAAUUGUGGUCCAGAAGCGGGGGUAAGAGGAAGGAUGGAAGGUUGAUCCGUGUUGAGUGUGUUGAACGGGAGAGUAGGCGGCCUUUUAAGUCAGUGGUGAAAACUUGUGGCGUAACCCAGAAACGUCCAUUGAUACUGCAAGGCUAGAGUACAGUUGCCGUUGGCGGAAUAUGACAUGUAGUGGUGAAAUACUUAGAUAUGUCAUAGAACACCGAUUGCGAAGGCAGCUAACGAAGCUGUAACUGACGCUGAGGCUCGAAAGUGCGGGGAUCAAACAGGAUUAGAUACCCGAGUAGUC
rnacentral:rRNA from 1 species